UCAAAUAGCACCAAGCUAAGCAAUGCCAUCUGAUACCCGAUUCUUUCUACCAGGGAAAUGUGCUAGCAAGGGUAUGAUCGAGCAUGAUGGACAUGAUGGCAGGAAAGAGAAGGGGAGAUCUCAUAAAGUGUUUUGCCGAAUGGCGAUGCAAUGCUUGUGAUCUGGAGAGCAAGCCAAGGUGGUUGGAUGAUCUCAAACCAUCAAAUGGUGCAAUUGAGUUGUAUGCCAAAAUUGAUUGUUUCGGGAAGCUGAGUUGUAUCUCCAGGAGGGUGGAUCCCUUAACUAUGAGGUUGUGCUUUGAUAUUUCUACUACCAGCCAUGUGUUUUAGAAGCAAUCUCUGGAGUCCUGCACCUCUAUAAUUAUUAUGUGGACUACCAUGUGAUACUCGACCUCUCAAUCCAUACUCUGAGAUGCAUUUUAUCUGACCAUAAUGCCAUUGGUUUCAGAUAAUCCAAGCAGCAUGAUAGUGGCAUAAACCCAAGCAUGUUGUUCUUCAAGAUGAGGAGCCAGGCCUGACGUCAAACAUAGGAAAAGGUGGUGCAGUGGAAGAAUACGACUUCAUUCUAGUGAGAUGUGGCUCAAGUGGAUGUUGGCGAUACAGCAGUGAGAAGAUCCCCUUGCUUGGUUGCUCCCCAGUCCUCCGAAUCGCUUUGUUUUCUUAGAAUUUAUUUCUCUUUCUUUCAUAAGUAGGGAUUUAAUACUUCGAAGUUUGUACAAAGGGUUUGCUGACCACCUGAUUGCCAUUCCUCUUCUCCUUGCCUGUCUUUUGGAGAAUAUUAGGCUUUGAUAUCAAUUUAAUGUUGUGCUCUAUCAUCCACCUUGUAAGGCUAUCACCUAUAUGAUAAUAUGAACCUAUUAUCUUGAUAUGCCCAAUGGUUGAACUCCUUAAUUGUAAGCUUGUGUUAACUUUAUUUAUAUUUUAACAACU
rnacentral:lncRNA from 1 species